UGCCCUAGUAACGGCGAGUGAAGCGGCAACAGCUCAAAUUUGAAAUCUGGCUCCUUCGGGGUCCGAGUUGUAAUUUGCAGAGGGUGCUUUGGCGUUGGCGGCGGUCUAAGUUCCUUGGAACAGGACAUCACAGAGGGUGAGAAUCCCGUACGUGGUCGCCUGCCUUCGCCGUGUAAAGCCCCUUCGACGAGUCGAGUUGUUUGGGAAUGCAGCUCUAAAUGGGAGGUAAAUUUCUUCUAAAGCUAAAUACCGGCCAGAGACCGAUAGCGCACAAGUAGAGUGAUCGAAAGAUGAAAAGCACUUUGGAAAGAGAGUCAAACAGCACGUGAAAUUGUUAUAAGGGAAGCGCUUGCAGCCAGACUUGCCUGUAGUUGCUCACCUGGGCUUUUGCCCGGGGCACUCUUCUGCAGGCAGGCCAGCAUCAGUUUGGGCGGUCGGAUAAAGGCCUCUGACACGUACUUCCUUUCGGGGUUGACAUAUAGGGGAGGCGUAAUGCGACCAGCCUGGACUGAGGUCCGCGCAUCUGCUAGGAUGCUGGCGUAAUGGCUGUAAGCGGCCCGUCUUGAAACACGGACCAAGGAGUCUAACAUCUAUGCGAGUGUUUGGGUGUCAAGCCCGAGCGCGUAAUGAAAGUGAACGGAGGUGGGAACCCCUCGGGGCGCACCAUCGACCGAUCCUGAUGUCUUCGGAUGGAUUUGAGUAAGAGCAUAGCUGUUGGGACCCGAAAGAUGGUGAACUAUGCUUGAAUAGGGUGAAGCCAGAGGAAACUCUGGUGGAGGCUCGCAGCGGUUCUGACGUGCAAAUCGAUCGUCAAAUUUGGGCAUAG
rnacentral:rRNA from 1 species